UACGUAGGGGGCUAGCGUUAUCCGGAAUUACUGGGCGUAAAGCGUGCGCAGGCGGCUCUAUAAGACAGAUGUGAAAUCCCCGGGCUUAACCUGGGAACUGCGUUUGUGACUGUAGGGCUUGAGUGCGGCAGAGGGGGGUGGAAUUCCACGUGUAGCAGUGAAAUGCGUAGAGAUGUGGAGGAACACCGAUGGCGAAGGCAGCCCCCUGGGUCGACACUGACGCUCAUGCACGAAAGCGUGGGGAGCAAACAGG
rnacentral:rRNA from 1 species